AGCUCAGUGGUAGAGCGCUUGCCUAGCAAGCGCAAGGCCCUGGGUUCGAUCCCCAG
rnacentral:tRNA from 1 species